GGGCCCUUAGCUCAGCGGUUAGAGCUGUCGGCUCAUAACCGAUUGGUCCCUGGUUCGAAUCCAGGAGGGCCCACCU
rnacentral:tRNA from 6 species